GUUUGAUCCUGGCUCGAUUGAACGCUGGCGGAAUGCUUUACACAUCCAUUACGAACGGCAGCACGAGAGCUUGCUCUUGGUGGCGAGUCUUGAACGGGUGAGUAAUAUAUCGGAACGUAUCCAAUAAUGGGGGAUAACUAAUCGAAAGGUUGGCUAAUACCGCAUACGCCCUACGGGGGAAAGCAGGGGAUCUUCGGACCUUGCGUUAAUGGAGCGGCUGAUACCUGAUUAGCUAGUAGGUGAGGUAAAGGCUCACCUAGGCUUCGAUCAGUAGCUGGUCUGAGAGGACGACCAGCCACACUGGAACUGAGACACGGUCCAGACUCCUACGGGAGGCAGCAGUGGGGAAUUUUGGACAAUGGGGGCAACCCUGAUCCAGCCAUUCCGCGUGAGUGAAGAAGGCCUUCGGGUUGUAAAGCUCUUUCGCAGGGGAAGAAACGUUACGAGCGAAUAACUCGUGAUAAUGACGGUACCUUGAUAAGAAGCACCGGCUAACUACGUGCCAGCAGCCGCGGUAAUACGUAGGGUGCGAGCGUUAAUCGGAAUUACUGGGCGUAAAGCGUGCGCAGGCGGUUUUGUAAGUCAGAUGUGAAAUCCCCGAGCUCAACUUGGGAACUGCGUUUGAAACUACAAGGCUAGAGUAUGGUAGAGGGGGGUAGAAUUCCACGUGUAGCAGUGAAAUGCGUAGAGAUGUGGAGGGAUACCAAUGGCGAAGGCAGCCCCCUGGACUAAUACUGACGCUCAUGCACGAAAGCGUGGGGAGCAAACAGGAUUAGAUACCCUGGUAGUCCACGCCCUAAACGAUGUCUACUAGUUGUUGGGAGAGUAAAAUCUCCUAGUAACGCAGCUAACGCGUGAAGUAGACCGCCUGGGGAGUACGGUCGCAAGAAUAAAACUNCAAGGAAUUGACGGGGGCCCGCAACAGCGGUGGA
rnacentral:rRNA from 1 species